GGGCCCGUGGUGUAAUGGCAGCACAUUAACCUGUCCAGUUAAGAGGCGCGGGUUCGAGUCCCGCCGGGUCCA
rnacentral:tRNA from 1 species